GACGAACGCUGGCGGCGUGCCUAACACAUGCAAGUCGAACGGGGCCCGCAAGGGUUCAGUGGCGAACGGGUGCGUAACACGUGAAGAACUUGUCCAUCGGCGGGGGAUAGCCGGCCCAACGGCCGGGUAAUACCGCGUACGCCGGCUGGAGCGCAUGCUCUGGCCGGGAAAGCAGCAAUGCACCGAUGGAGAGCUUCGCGGCCUAUCAGCUAGUUGGCGGGGUCACGGCCCACCAAGGCGACGACGGGUAGCUGGUCUGAGAGGAUGACC
rnacentral:rRNA from 1 species